AUACUUACCUGGUAGAAGAGAUACCAUGAUCAAGAAGGUGGUUCUCUCAGGCCGAGGCUCAGCCAUUGCACUCUGGCUUAGCUGACAUCCUGCGAUUUCCCCAAAUGUGGGAAUCUCGACUACAUAAUUUCUGAUAGUGGGGACUGCGUUCGCGCUAUCUCCUA
ensembl:snRNA U1 U1 spliceosomal RNA